UACGUAGGGGGCAAGCGUUGUCCGGAAUCAUUGGGCGUAAAGAGCGUGUAGGCGGUCCGGUAAGUCGGCUCUGAAAGUCCAAGGCUCAACCUUGGGAUGCGGGUGAAUACUGUCGGGCUCGAGUCCGGAAGAGGCGAGUGGAAUUCCUGGUGUAGCGGUGAAAUGCGCGGAUAUCAGGAGGAACACCAAUGGCGAAGGCAGCUCGCUGGGACGUGACUGACGCUGAGACGCGAAAGCGUGGGGAGCAAACAGG
rnacentral:rRNA from 1 species